rnacentral:sRNA from 1 species
UAGCAGCCCGGCUUGAGUGGAAAUCCUUUUUUGCGGCUGGAAAAGCAAGGCAAAAAGAUUGGGAACGGAAGACGGAUAAAGC